UUCGAAGCAACGCGCAGAACCUUACCAGCGUUUGACAUCCUAAUCGCGGUUUUCAGAGAUCGAUUACCUUCAGUUCGGCUGGAUUAGUGACAGGUGCUGCAUGGCUGUCGUCAGCUCGUGUCGUGAGAUGUUGGGUUAAGUCCCGCAACGAGCGCAACCCUCGUCCUUAGUUGCCAUCAUUCAGUUGGGCACUCUAAGGAAACUGCCGGUGAUAAGCCGGAGAAGUGGGGAUGACGUCAAGUCCUCAUGGCCCUUACACGCUGGGCUACACACGUGCUACAAUGGCGGUGACAGUGGGCAGCAACCGGGCGACCGGUAGCUAAUCUCCAAAAACCGUCUCAGUUCGGAUUGUUCUCUGCAACUCGAGAGCAUGAAGGCGGAAUCGCUAGUAAUCGCGGAUCAGAAUGCCACGGUGAAUACGUUCCCGGGCCUU
rnacentral:rRNA from 1 species